rnacentral:rRNA from 1 species
UGAGAUGAGUCUUAAAAAACUCUUUAAACACAAAGGCUUGGUCCUAGCCUUAAUAUCAAUUCCCACUUAAUUUACACAUGCAAGUUUCUGCACCCCCGUGAAAACGCCCUUAAACCCCUUCAGGGAUAAGGAGCUGGUAUCAGGCACAAUAAAUCGCCCAAGACACCUAGCUAUGCCACGCCCACAAGGGUUAACAGCAGUGAUCAAUAUUAAACAUAAACGACAGUUUGAUUUAGUUAAAGUGAACAGAGCCGGCAAAACUGGUGCCAGCCGCCGCGGUUACACCACGAGACUCAAAUUGAUUUACACCGGCGUAAAGCGUGAUUAAAGCCUUAGAUAUUUUAGGGCUAAAACUGGACUAAGCCGUGACAUGCUUGUCCAUUAAGAAACUCACACAACGAAAGUUGCCCUAAUUCAACCAACUUGAACUCACGAUAGCUAGGACCCAAACUGGGAUUAGAUACCCCAUUAUGCCUAGCCCUAAACUUUGACUUACACCACCCACACGCCAGGGAACUACGAGCAACGCUUAAAACCCAAAGGACUUGACGGUACCCCACAUCCACCUAGAGGAGCCUGUCCCAUAAUUGAUGACCCCCGCUAAACCUUACCACUUUUAGUCUAUCAGCUUGUAUACUUCCGUNUUCAGCUUACCUCGUGAGNGUUACUUAGUGAGCUUAAUGCNUANUCCNCCAAUACGUCAGGUCAAAGUGCAGNUAAUACAGUGGAAAGAGAUGGGCUACNCUCUCUUACCUAGAGAAUANGAAAGANUAUGCUGAAAUCANGUCAGAAGGNGGAUUNNGAAGUAAAANGGAAG